UACGUAGGGAGCAAGCGUUGUCCGGAAUCAUUGGGCGUAAAGCGCGCGUAGGCGGCCCGAUAAGUCCGCGGUAAAAGUCAACGGCUCAACUGUUGAAAGCCGGUGGAUACUGUCGGGCUAGAGUACGGAAGAGGCAAGUGGAAUUCCUGGUGUAGCGGUGGAAUGCGCAGAUAUCAGGAGGAACACCCAUAGCGAAGGCAGCUUGCUGGGACGUUACUGACGCUAAGGCGCGAAAGCGUGGGGAGCGAACAGG
rnacentral:rRNA from 1 species